UAACAACAACAACAACAACAAACCCAGUGUAUUCCCACCUAGUGGGGUCUGGGGGGUAAGAUGUACGCAGUCCAUACCUCUACCUCUAAUGAAGUAGAAAGGCUGUUUCCGAUAGACCCCCGGCUCAAGGCACGAGAUACCACACAAACACAUAGUGCAGCACAGAAGCAGAUUACAUAACAUAAAUACGGCACCCAUAAGUAAUAUAAAGCAGAGGAAAGCAGGGGAAAGCACACAGAUUCGUAAUACAACAUGGAACACGGAACACGGAAUCAUGA
rnacentral:lncRNA from 1 species